GUUGCCUGUAGCUUAAGCUUAAAGUAUAGCAUUGAAAAUGCUAAGAUGGUACUACCCUUCAACAA
rnacentral:tRNA from 1 species